rnacentral:tRNA from 1 species
AAGGUUUUAAGUUAAGAAAACUAAUAACCUUCAAAGUUAUCAAUAAAAAUUUUAAACCUUA